UACGUAGGGUGCGAGCGUUUGUCCGGAAUUAUUGGGCGUAAAGAGCUCGUAGGCGGUGUGUCACGUCGUUCGUGAAAACCUGCAGCUUAACUGUGGGCGUGCGGUCGAUACGGGGCAUCACUGGAGUUCGGCAGGGGAGACUGGAAUUCCUGGUGUAGCGGUGAAAUGCGCAGAUAUCAGGAGGAACACCGGUGGCGAAGGCGGGUCUCUGGGCCGAUACUGACGCUGAGGAGCGAAAGCGUGGGGAGCGAACAGG
rnacentral:rRNA from 1 species